UACGUAGGGUGCGAGCGUUGUCCGGAAUUAUUGGGCGUAAAGAGCUCGUAGGCGGUGUGUCACGUCGGCCGUGAAAACCUGGGGCUUAACUCUGGGCGUGCGGUCGAUACGGGCAUCACUAGAGUUCGGCAGGGGAGACUGGAAUUCCUGGUGUAGCGGUGAAAUGCGCAGAUAUCAGGAGGAACACCGGGGGCGAAGGCGGGUCUCUGGGCAGUAACUGACGCUGAGGAGCAAAGCGUGGGGAGCGAACAGG
rnacentral:rRNA from 1 species